rnacentral:rRNA from 1 species
GACUACCCGGGUAUCUAAGCCUGUUUGCUCCCCUAGCUUUCGCAGCUUAGCGUCAGGGCUAGACUAGAGAGCCGCUUUCGCCACUGGUGUUCCUCCCGAUAUCUACAGAUUUCACUCUUACACCGGGAAUUCCGCUCUCCUCUUCUAGCCUCAAGCCAUGCAGUUUUGAAGGCAGUUCUGUGGUUGAGCCACAGGAUUUCACCCCCAACUUGCAUAGCCGCCUACCUGCCCUUUACACCCAAUAAAUCCGAGUAACGCUCGCCAUCUCUGUAUUACCGCGGCUGCUGGCACAGAGUUAGCCAUGGCUUCUUCUCUAGGUACCGUCAGUUCCAGUAGUUAACCGGAAUUUUCUUCCCUAUCGAAAGAGGUUUACAAUCCGAAGACCUUCAUCCCUCACGCGGCGUCACAUAGUCAGGCUUUCGCCCAUUGCUAAAUAUCCUCGACUGCAGCCCCCCGUAGG